rnacentral:rRNA from 1 species
CGCUACGGCCAUACCAGCCUGGGUACGCCCGAUCUCGUCUGAUGUCGGAAGCUAAGCAGGGUAGGGCCUGGUUAGUACUUGGAUGGGAGACGGCCUGGGAAUACCAGGUGCUGUAAGGA